rnacentral:ncRNA from 1 species
CAUCUUCAGGGCAGGGUGAAAUUCCCGAUCGGCGGUGAGGGUGAAGCGUGCUUCACCCGUAGUCCGCGAGCCGCAAGGCAGGAACCGGUGCGAUUCCGGUACCGACAGUAAAGUCUGGAUGGAAGAAGAUG